CUUGACCUCCCGACCUCAGGUGAUCCACCCACUUCAGCCUCCAAAAAUGGGAUUACAGGCAUGAGCCACCGCUCCCAACUUCAUUCAUUUUUACUUGAAAAACUCCGUUAAGCAUUUUUUUAAGGUAGACCUAGUAGUCCUGAAUGCCCUCAGCUUUGUUUGUCGAGCAAACACGUUAUUUCUUUUUUCUUUCUGAAGGACAGCUUUGUCAGACAUAAUAUUAGUUGCUGGCAGUUUUUUUCUUUCAGCACUUUGAAUGUAUUAUUCGAUUCUGUCCUGACCUGCAAAGUUUCUUUAACUUUUGACUAUUUGAUUAUAUUGUGACUUGGUGAGUAUCUAUUUGGUUUGAACCUCUUUAGGAAUCUUUAAGCUUCAUGGAUUUAGAUGUCUAAAUCUUUCCCAUGAUUUAGGCAGUUUUCAGCCAUUCUUUAAAUAAGCUUUCUUCUCCUUUCUCUACUUUCCUUCUCAAACUCCCAUAACCUGACAAUGGUUUGACUAAUGGUGUCUUGUUGGCUUUCUUUUCUCUGUCUCGUUUUUUUUCUUUUUUUCUUUUUUUUGAGACAGAGUCAUGCUCUGUCACCCAGGCUGGAGUGCAAUGUGUGGUCUCAGCUCACAUUGCACUCCAACCUCCGCCUCCUGGGUUCAAGCGAUUCUCCUGCCUCAGCCUCCCAAGUAGCUGGGACUACAGGUGUGUGCCACCACACCCGGCUAAUUUUUGUAUUUUUAGUAGAGAUGGGGUUUUGUCAUGUUGGCCAGGCUGGUCUUGAACUCCUGAACUCUUAAUCUGCCUGCCUCGGCCUCCCAAAGUGUUGGGAUUACAGGCUUGAGCCACCACGCCCAGCCUUCUUUUCUCUUUUUUAUUCUUUUUUUCUUUGUCCUCUGACUGGAUAAUUUCAGAAGAUCUAUAUUCAAGUUUACAGAUUCUCUCUCCUGUUGAAGUUUACUAUUGUGUUAUAUCACCCAGUCUGGUCUUGAACUCCUGGGCUCAAGCGACCCUCCCACCUUGGCCUCCCAAAGUGCUGAGUUUACAAGCAUGAGCCACUGCAUCCAGUCAGUCCCAGCACUUUGGGAAGCUGAGGUGGGAGGAUCACUUGAGCUCAGGAGUUUGAGACCAGCCUGGGCAACAUACUGAGAACUUGUCUCUAUAUUAAAAAAAAAAAAAAAGUCUUUGGGAGGCCAAAGCGGGAGGAUCACCUGAGGUCAGGAGUUCGAGACCAGCCUGGCCAACAUGGCAAAACCCCAUCUCUACUAAAAAUACAAAAAUUAGCCAGGUGUGGUGGCAUACACCUGUAGUGGUGGUGCAUGCCUGUAGUCCCAGCUACUCAAGAGGCUGAGGCAGGAGAAUCACUUGAACUGGGAGAUGGAGGUUGCAGUGAGCUGAGAUCGCACCAGUGCACUCCAGCCUGGGCAACAGAGUGAGAUUCCAUCUUAUAAAAGGAAGAGAGAAAGAAAAGAAAAAUUCCAUAUCUGAGUGUUUACUCCUGAGUUUUUGAGAUUGUUAUUAAGAUCGUGCUCUACUGUGAUGAUUUGGGUUUGUUUGAUAAUCAGAAAAAAGCAUAUUCUUUUGGGUGUUCAGCCACACUGCUUUGGUGUCACAACUGCACAUUGGUUUCACAGCUGCAGGACAAGUUCGAGCAUCUUAAAAUGAUUCAACAGGAGGAGAUAAGGAAGCUCGAGGAAGAGAAAAAACAACUGGAAGGAAAAAUCAUAGAUUUUUAUAAAAUGAAAGCUGCCUCUGAAGCACUGCAGACUCAGCUGAGCACCGAUACAAAGAAAGACAAACAUCACCAAACCAAUGCAGACCAAACCAAUGCAGAACUCCUAUGUGCUGAUGGUGGUCUUACGUUUCCCUAAGUUUCUGCCGACUAAACUGUGCACACGUUCUCAGGACCUCCUGAAGCUGCGUCACAGGCACUAAUCAAAGAACACAACCAAGAGUUUGGCCUUUUCUUCAGCACUGGGAAUUGUGAUCCAAAGCUUUCCCGGAUGAAGCACAAAGUUGGAGAAACAAAACGCAAACUAAACAACAAUGAAACAGAACAGAGUUAAUCUGCUGUAGCUCAAGAGAGGACGUACCUGCCCCCACCCCGCAUCCCUGGGCUCGGGUUUGCCUUGCUGACCUCUGCUGCCACCUGGUGCCACACAGAGAAACUGAGGAGAAACCACAUCAGUCUCCUUCAGCCUCAGCUUCACAUCUGUGGGUCAAGUAACCCUUUCAGAAGCUGUAUAAUGUGGGAAAGCUUUCCUUUCAGGAAAAUGCAUACAUCCAACUUUGAGAAGAUGCCCUUGGGGGCGCUUCAAGGAUCCUAGAUAAAGAACCCCCUUUCCCG